GGGCAGUCAUCGCCGAAUCCCCGCAGGGCGCGAGCCGGGGAACCGGGGACCCACCGUCCCAGGGGUGAAUCGGGCGCCUCCCGCGAGGGGCCCGUAGGAGACCUUCCUGCUCCGAACCCGUCAGCUAACCCGGUAGGCGAGAAGGAAGGAAAG
rnacentral:sRNA from 2 species